UACGGAGGGUGCGAGCGUUGUCCGGAAUCACUGGGCGUAAAGGGCGCGUAGGUGGCCUGAUAAGUAGGGGGUGAAAUCUCGAGGCUCAACUUCGAGGCUGCCUCCUAAACUGUCAGGCUUGAGCAGAGUAGAGGCAGGUGGAAUUCCCGGUGUAGCGGUGGAAUGCGUAGAGAUCGGGAAGAACACUGGUGGCGAAGGCG
rnacentral:rRNA from 1 species